UGAGUAACACGUGAGUGACCUGCCUUUUAGACUGGAACAACUUACCGAAAGGUGAGCUAAUGCCGGAUGAGUUAUAUAAGUGCAUGUUUAUAUAGGAAAAGUUGGGGAGACCUGACGCUGAAAGAUGGACCCGCGUCCCAUUAGCUAGUUGGUAGGGUAAUGGCCUACCAAGGCGACGAUGGGUAGCCGGCCUGAGAGGGUGGCCGGCCACACUGGGACUGAGACACGGCCCAGACUCCUACGGGAGGCAGCAG
rnacentral:rRNA from 1 species